AACCUCUGUGUCGGCUGGUUAUCCUCCUCCUCCAUGUUCAAGACUAUUUGGAUCAAAACUUACCUUGCUCAAUAGGCUGCUGCAAAUAAUGCAAGGUUGUUUUUUCAGCUGGUUAGGCUGAUGUGUUUGAACUGCUGCAUGAGAGACUUCCUGCUGCUUUGCCAUUUGGGAAACUGUGCUGGGAGUUUCUGGAGCACAGACUUGCAGGGCAAUUCCUGCUGUCAAAGCUGCAGCUGGAAGAUUUGGCAGUAGGUAGAGCUUGUUCUUUUCAUGUCUGGCUCUGCCGGCAGCCAUGGUGAGGCUUUUGUUGAAGCUGAUCCUAAUCACGGAAUGCAAGGCAGCUUCUGGGACAAAGUCUUAAUGCUUUUGGGAGUUUGCUUUCCAGCCUGGCAAUCACCCAUUCACAGCACUUACUCAAACCUUUUCAGUAAUCUCUCUCCUCUGCCAGGAGUUGUCUCAGUAUUUGUGAGUGCUGUUUCUGCUCAAUCUAAUUUUAGAGUAUGCUAAUAACAAAGUUAUUUACUGUGCUGGCAUUACCGUACACUUUGUGUCUCAUGAACCCAAAGAUUAUGUGUCCAUUACAUCUCCUUAAUUCUCUUUGUCAUUGUCAGUGUGGUUCCAAUCAUAAACUUUGCUUAGCAGUGAAUGGUUGGUUGUGGAAAAAUACCCCAAACAACAGAACAAAACGAACGAAGAACUCAACUGCCAACAGUUACUUUCAGGACUCUUAAAUGGAAUUCUACCCAUCAACCUGCAGAACAUCUCUGGGGCUGUAAAAAAGGAAUGAAAAUUUCCUCAUUUGAAGCUGGGCUUGACUGACAGCUUUAUUAUCUGGAUAAGUGAUUGCUGGGGACACUGGAGGGCACUGAAGUUUAUGGAAAGAGGAACGCCAUAAUGAAGCUUUAUUGGGAUGGCAUCACCAAACAAUUGCUGUGAUAGCAACACUCCCAAGCUUGGAGAAGUGCCAGACGUUUCCCCCCUGGAACUGACUCAGACACUACCCUCUCUGGCUCAGGACUGACGCAGAAAAUGGAUGCUUUCUGGCUCAUAAAAUGGCCUCUUUCCGGCUUGGAAAUCACUGAGGAACUGUCCACUUUGGGUUUAGGAAGAACUUGGGAACUGGUCUUUCUCCAUUGAACAAUGACUUUGAAAUGCACCUUUCUUUUGCUUGAUUCUGUCUUGAAACUAUAAAAGUGUUUGUUUAAA